GCAAAAUCAAUACAUUCCUCGCUGUCCUUAGAAUUUAAAAUAUAUUUGUCGUUUUAUCAGCUUUAUCUUUUUUUUUCUUUGGCUUCAUCCCAAUUAUUUGAUGGUCAGCCAAUUUUAUAGUUAUAUACAGGUCCAUAUUUAGGGAGGUGCGAGAGGUGUCCACACAUCCAGGCGCCAAUGAAAGUUCUGCAAUCGAAUAUUUUUACAUAAUGAACGCAAGAGUUGGUAAAUUGUUCUGGCACCGGGUUGUUGAUUUUGCUAGGCACAGUACUAGUUGUAUGUAUU